GCUCUGCUCGGCGACAGACCCUCAUUCUCCGGCACUUGUGGUGAAACGGCGGAUUCAGUGGCCUGUGAAUUGUCCAACGACGACUACUACGAAGGCGAGGCAGGACAACUCUCUGGAUUGGAAACAAGUGAGCUUUCCCCUCCGGAUCACAACAGCAGCACUUUCUCGUCUCCUUUUCAACCAUCCAAACGCAAAAGAAAGCGGGCACGGGAUGACAGCUUCCUUGACACCAUCAU